GAGGAACUGGAGGAGGUGUCUGGAGAGAGGGACGUCUGGGCGUCUCUGCUGAGUCUGCUGCCCCCGCGACCCGGUCCCGGAUAAGCGGAAGACGACGAGUACGAGUACGAGGAAUAAAUGUGUUGUUCAGGUCACUGUUUACGCACAGCUAAAUAAGAGACUGGAAAAUGUGAGAUUCCCCAAAAAAACACUACGACUGGGAGACAAUCAAAGAGGUACUGAUUAAUUGGCUAAUCCUUGCAGCUCUACAAAGAGACGUCGUCUCGAAGAGACACAUGACACAGAUGAAACCAUUUCUAGUGACUCAACAAUCAUUCUGGGUCCGUCUACAGAUGAAAGUACCAGCCCAGACUCAGUUAGUGUUGACAGGGAGUUAGAAGGAAAAACGCCUCAAAGCCCCCAGGAAGAAGCGCUCUCUCUCCUGUCCAGUCCUAAGACUAACAGGUCAGCAGAUGUUGAAAACUCAUCCAACUACAGUCCAGCAACCUCAGCCAACAAUACAAGACCCUACAAUCUUUGUAUGAAAAAGAAAUCCAGACCACCAGGAUGUGUCUCUUCUCCUGGAGUUGGAGCUCCAAGCCUGAAGAACAUUCAUUGAUUCAAAUACUAUUCAUGAGGAGGACAGACACAAGCAGGUUAUAAAGGCAUAUCCAUGUUUGAAGGACAUUGGACAUGUCAUGGAGGAGCUUCAAGGCAUUCUAGACAAGGAUAAUAACUGUUAUAUUGAUGAACUGAAAGGAAGAAGGCAAGACUUCUGCCAGAAGGUGCAGUUUUUUGGUGUUUGGAAAAGAAGAUGCUGAAACCACCAAUGGGAACGGACAAAGGUUUAAUCCACAAUCUCCAUCAUGCUGACACACUGAGGAACUUCUCUUGAUGACUUUUACCAGGAUGAUGGCGCCCUCUAGUGUUGAAGAAGAGUUUGUUAACAUGAAACCCAACCUGUAACCCUGAUGCUGCUCAGUGACAGGAGAAAUGAUGAGCUUCACUUCUUUAGCUGUUUUUCCUUGGAAUGAGAGACGGAGGAACAUGAUCUUUAUCUCACUGAUCAAAAACAACCUAAUCUCUUUGUAAUUAACAUGUUUUAUUUCAACAAAGCCAGAAAGAAACAUAUAUUUUCUGCUAUGUUCUGGACAUUAAAACUAUUUUCUGAUGUUUCACAGACUGUUAUUCUUUUCUCAGUAGUUUUAUUGUUUGUUCAUCAAAUCACAGAAAAUACAGAAAAUAAGAGGAUAGAAGCUGAUCUGAAGCUGCUCUCAAACAUCUUAUUAACUCAUUGAAGUUUUCUGCCUCCAUUUAUUUGGUUUUGUCCAACGCUGCCAACAUAGUUGAGAAUAUCCAAUGAAUCUUUAAAAUGAGCGUCUCUGCUGCAGAAGCUGCUGCUUGUAGAGGUUUCUGUGUGCUUUGACAGGGUUUGCAGGGUUGUGUAUCUGCAUGGAGGUUUGCAGCACAGGAACAGGAGAACUUCCUCUCACCUUUCCUCUUCAUCCUGCAGCAGUGGUGGAAGCAGAGGAUGUUCUUGAUGAAUGAAGGUGAAACCAAACAUCUGAUCUGAUCCAGCAUCACAUGAGACACUCUGAAGGAAAUGUUUCUGCUCUUUAGACGACAAAACUCACAAUUUAUUGUUAGAAUGAAAAGAAAACUUUCCACAUUUCUCUGGAAUCAAGUUGUUUUAUUGAAGAAAUCCAAAGAGACAGAACAGCAGACAUAUAUUUUUCUGAUCUAAAUCUAAAGGAUUCAGAAGAAAACAGCAUCAGUUCUAAGUUGAUGUUAGUUUCAGUUUUCUUCUUUGGAUCACAAUAAAGAAACCAGAAGCAAGUUCAGUUCACUUCAAUCUCAACUGAUUUAAACAAGAACAACAUUUGUUCUGCAGAACAGUGGAAGAGAAACCAGAAGAUCCAAAUACAUCAAUACAAAUAUGAAACCAGAACCAUUAGAGCCCAGAGAAGUUUAGAUUUUCAUGUGGAGAAAUAUUUCUGUGUCAAAUAAGAAUGAAAGAAAACAUCAGCAGUGAAAUCCUUUCUGGUUCCUGGAACACAGACACAGAGAACUACAUUUAAACAAGAACAAUGAAGAA